rnacentral:rRNA from 1 species
AGCGAACGCUGGCGGCAGGCCUAACACAUGCAAGUCGAACGAACCUUUCGGGGUUAGUGGCGGACGGGUGAGUAACACGUGGGAACGUGCCCUUAGGUUCGGAAUAACUCAGGGAAACUUGUGCUAAUACCGAAUGUGCCCUUCGGGGGUAAGAUUUAUUGCCUUUAGAUUGGCCUGCGUCUGAUUAGCUAGUUGGUUGAGGUAAUGGCUCAUCUAAGCGAGGUGCAGUAGCUGUGGUGAGAGGAUGAUAAGCCACAUUGGGGCUGAGACACGGUCUACACUCCUACGCGAGGGAGCAGUGGGGAAUCUUGCGCAAGGGGCGCAAGCCUGACGAAGCCAUGCCGCGUGAAUGAUGAAGGUCUUAGGAUUGUAAAAUUCUUUCACCGGGGACGAUAAUGACGGUACCCGGAGAAGAAGCCCCGGCUAACUUCGUG